GAUUCUUUCUGUUUUAUCGUGUUCUUUGCUUCUUGGUUUUAAUUAGAAGGGUUUCAAGAUCCAAAACUUGAAGGCCUAGAAGUGAAAAUGUGGUAAGCAUAUAUAUAAGAUUUUUCUUCAAUUAUGAUCUUUCAUUUUGUAUGAACUGUUUUUUUUUUUUUUUGUGUUAUAUCAUUUUAUUUUUAUGAAGUAUAUAGAUAAUAAUAAUCUGAAAUACAUGCAGCCACAAAGAAAGUAUAUGAUGAAGUUGACUCUUUCUUCAUCUUCUUUCGUUGUAAUGUUAACUCUCACUCUUUAUUUGGAUGUAUGUUUUUUUGGAUGAUUUUGUAUUAUCAUGUUCAUGUGAUAUUUCAUUUUCAUGAGAUACAGUCAUACAAGUGGAUAGGCAGUACUUAAGAUUACGACUUCUCAUAUUUUAUCACUAUAUGAAUCUAUGAAAUAUAAUAGGCAUGCAUUAUAUUGAAAUUUUUAUUCUUGUAUACUCUUCUGAUGUAUUUUGAAAAGCAACACCUUGCUUAAUGCUCAUUAACUUGUGAACAUAUGAACUAACAAAUCUAAUAAAAAUGCUAAUUAAAAAGUGACAAUUGUUAUAUUAAUUUAGAGUUUAAAGUUAGUGCACCGUCGACACUAGAAUAAUAAAUUUUACUGUCGAUAAUCAUAACUAUUCAAUUCGUCUCAUAAUAUUAAAUUAUUUUUAAUCAAAGGUAGAUAUUUAAUACUUUGUGGACUUGGUGUGAUGUUAUUGAUUGUUAGUGUAAUAUCGCAUUAUAUAAAAAUAAAUAUAUUGCAUGUAGUUACUCACUCUCAUAAUGAGUGUGACUUUAAGCUCUCAAAAUGAAUAUUGCAAUUUUAAUUAUUUUUUUCUAAUUCAUCAAUAGUUAAGAUUGAUAGGUUGAUAAUUUUUUUUUCUUUAUAAUUAUUGUAUUUCUUAAUUUAUGUAUAAAAAUCUUAAACGGUGUUGAUGACGAUUAUUCUCACAAAGACACGUAAAGUAAUAUUUAAAUAAAGUAAACAUAUUUUAUAAAUUAAAUAUAUAUAAAAAUAUAAGCAACUACUCACUCUCAAUUGUUGUCUUGUAUUUUGUCACACGCAAAAGAGUUUGAUUGGGAAAAUUGGAGGCUAGGAGUAGGAGGAUCGAUAAGGUGGGGUCCAUUUAAUGUUUUUGGAGCUAAGUUGGAGGGUUUGAUGGGAGAAAGUAUAUAUAAGAGGAAAAUCCACAUA
rnacentral:lncRNA from 1 species